rnacentral:rRNA from 1 species
CCUACGGGGGGCUGCAGUAGGGAAUCUUUCACAAUGGGCGAAAGCCUGAUGGAGCAACGCCGCGUGCAGGAUGAAGGCCUUCGGGUUGUAAACUGCUUUUAUAAGCGAGAAAUGUGAGGGUAACUUAUGAAUAAGGAUCGGCUAACUACGUGCCAGCAGCCGCGGUCAUACGUAGGAUCCGAGCAUUAUCCGGGGUGACUGGGUGUAAAGAGUUUCGUAGGUGGCAUAAUAAGUAGCUAGUGAAAUCUGGUGGCUCAACCAUUCAGACUAUUAGCUAAACUCGUAAGCUCGAGACCGUUAGGGGUAACUGGAAUUUCUAGUGUAGGAGUGAAAUGCGUAGAUAUUAGAAGGAACACCAAUGGCGUAGGCAGGUUGCUGGGACGGUUCUGACACUAAGGCACGAAAGCGUAGGGAGCAAACGGGAUUAGAUACCCUUGUAGUC